AGAGAGAGAGAGAGAUAAUAAAGGGAGGGAAAAGAGGGAGGGAGGAGGAGGAGGAGGAGGAGGAGGAGGACCAAAGCAAAUAUACAGUAAAUAUUGACUGCCUUGCAUAUGGAGGAGAGGAUAACAUUGCAAGCUAAGAGGAGAAGGAGAAGGAAGUGGGGUAAGGAGGAGGAUAAAGGUCGUGAAUGAGAGAAAGAGGGAGAGGGAGGAGGGGGAGGAGGGCUAAGAUAAGAAUAGUAAUUAAUAACAGCCUUGCAUGAAAAAGUAAUAUAAGAGAUUAAAGGUAAUGAGAGGUCGAUAAUAAUAACAGGCUAAGAAUAGGUAAGAGAAGGUAAAUUAACAGGUAGGCAGGUAAGAAAAAAAGGACAGAAUUAAAGCAAAAAGCAAGGAAUGGUAUAAACUUGUAGAAAAUAAAAUGGAAAUAGAAUAAAUGUAAGUGAUAAUUAAUGAAUGUGAGAUAGGUAGAAAUGGAGACAGGUAGUACUUAAAGGAGAGAAUAUGCUUAUAAAUGGUGAUAAAUAGUGACUAAUGAAUGGGAGGUAGAUAGAAAUGGAGAUAAAUGAAAGGUAAGGGAUUUGAAAUAGGUAAAAAAAUUGGAGACAACGAGUAAGGAACAGAGAACAGGUAGAAAUGGAGACAGGUGAUAAGUAGUGGAUUAGAGACAGGUAAAUAUGAAAAUGGAUGAAGAGUAAUGAAUAGAAGACAGGUAGAAGGUUAGACAGAAUAAGUAAAAGAUAAAAGGUAAUAAGAGAGAGAAAGAUUAUAAGGAACAAGGAACAGCUAGAAAUGCCAGCAGGUUAUAGGUAAGGAAUAGAAGACAGGUGGAAAGUUUAAUAGGUGUGCACAGACGAACAAAAAGCGGAAAUAGAGAAUCAAACAGGCAGCGACCUCCUAUUAUUAUUAUCAAACACCAACAGUAAAACAGACAGACAAUAACCUGCGACAAAAGGCAAUAACCGAACGUAACGAGACACGAGAGCGAGGAGAAUAAAAAACUUAUUACACACACACACACACACACACACACACACACACACACACACACACACACACACACACACACACACACACACACACACACA